UACAGAGGUCUCAAGCGUUGUUCGGAUUCAUUGGGCGUAAAGGGUGGCGUAGGUGGCGCCAUAAGUCAGGUGUGAAAGUCUCGGGGACUCGAACCCCGAAACCUGCACUUGAUACUGUGGUGCUGGAGUACUGGAGAGGAGAUUGGAAUUUACGGUGUAGCAGUGAAAUGCGUAGAUAUCGUAAGGAAGACCAGUGGCGAAGGCGAAUCUCUGGACAGUUACUGACACUGAGGCACGAAGGCCAGGGGAGCAAACGGG
rnacentral:rRNA from 1 species